rnacentral:rRNA from 1 species
AUAACUAGGAUUAGAUACCCUAUUAUUAUGAAGCUAAACAUUGUAAGUAAAUAUUAAUUAUAAAAGCAAAAAAUUAUGGGCGGUAUCUUAAGCUUUUCAGAGGAAUUUGCUCUGUAAUGGAUAAAACACCUAAAUCUUACUUUAAUUAGUAAAAUCAAUUUGUAUACCACUAUUAAAAUAAUAAUAUACAAUUAUUAUUAGAAUAUAAUUUAUAUAAUAAAUUAAGUCAAGGUGCAGUAAAAAUUAAAGAAUGAAGUGAAUUACAUUUCUUUUUAGAAAAAAAAAUGAAAAAUUAUUUCGGAUUUGAAAGUAAAAUUAAAAUAGUAUGUUAAUUUGAAUUUAGCUCUAAGAUAUGUACACAUCGCCCGUCGCUCUCAUAGACUUUG